UACGGAGGGUGCAAGCAUUAAUCGGAAUUAUUGGGCGUAAAGGGCGCGUAGGCGGAUUUGUAAGUCAGAUGUGAAAUUCCGAAGCUCAACUUCGGAGCUGCAUUUGAAACUGUGAAUCUAGAGGAAUGGCGGAGAAAAUGGAAUUCCACGUGUAGCGGUGAAAUGCGUAGGUAUGUGGAAGAACACCGGUGGCGAAGGCGAUUUUCUAGCUUUUACCUGACGCUGAGGCGCGAGAGCAAGGGGAGCAAACAGGAUUAGAUACCCUGGUAGUCCUUGCCGUAAACGAUGUAUACUUGAUGUAGUUGGGCUCAACCCUGACUGUGUCGAAGCUAACGCGAUAAGUAUACCGCCUGGGGAGUACGCUCGCAAGGGUGAAACUCAAAA
rnacentral:rRNA from 1 species